UUUCCGUAGGGGAACCUGCGGAGGGAUCAUUACACAAAUAUGAAGGCGGGCUGGAACCUCUCGGGGUUACAGCCUUGCUGAAUUAUUCACCCUUGUCUUUUGCGUACUUCUUGUUUCCUUGGUGGGUUCGCCCACCACUAGGACAAACAUAAACCUUUUGUAAUUGCAAUCAGCGUCAGUAACAAAUUAAUAAUUACAACUUUCAACAACGGAUCUCUUGGUUCUGGCAUCGAUGAAGAACGCAGCGAAAUGCGAUAAGUAGUGUGAAUUGCAGAAUUCAGUGAAUCAUCGAAUCUUUGAACGCACAUUGCGCCCUUUGGUAUUCCAAAGGGCAUGCCUGUUCGAGCGUCAUUUGUACCCUCAAGCUUUGCUUGGUGUUGGGCGUCUUGUCUCUAGCUUUGCUGGAGACUCGCCUUAAAGUAAUUGGCAGCCGGCCUACUGGUUUCGGAGCGCAGCACAAGUCGCACUCUCUAUCAGCAAAGGUCUAGCAUCCAUUAAGCCUUUUUUUCAACUUUUGACCUCGGAUCAGGUAGGGAUACCCGCUGAACUUAAGCAUAUCCGUAUGAGCGCA
rnacentral:rRNA from 1 species